rnacentral:rRNA from 1 species
AUUGAACGCUGGCGGCAGGCCUAACACAUGCAAGUCGAGCGGAUGAAGGGAGCUUGCUCCUGGAUUCAGCGGCGGACGGGUGAGUAAUGCCUAGGAAUCUGCCUGGUAGUGGGGGAUAACGUCCGGAAACGGGCGCUAAUACCGCAUACGUCCUGAGGGAGAAAGUGGGGGAUCUUCGGACCUCACGCUAUCAGAUGAGCCUAGGUCGGAUUAGCUAGUUGGUGGGGUAAAGGCCUACCAAGGCGACGAUCCGUAACUGGUCUGAGAGGAUGAUCAGUCACACUGGAACUGAGACACGGUCCAGACUCCUACGGGAGGCAGCAGUGGGGAAUAUUGGACAAUGGGCGAAAGCCUGAUCCAGCCAUGCGCGUGUGUGAAGAAGGUCUUCGGAUUGUAAAGCACUUUAAGUUGGGAGGAAGGGCAGUAAGUUAAUACCUUGCUGUUUUGACGUUACCAACAGAAUAAGCACCGGCUAACUUCGUG